rnacentral:lncRNA from 1 species
CUCUGAUUGGUUGGCAUUGUUGUUCAUAUGGGAUCUCAAGCCCCUCCAGCUCUUUCAGUCCUUUCUCUGAUUCCUUCAACGGGGGUCCCGUUCUCAGUUCAGUGGUUUGUUGCUGGCAUUCGCCUAUGUAUUUGCCAUAUUUUGGCUAUGUUUCUCAGGAGAGAUAAACAUCCGGUUCCUGUCAGCCAGCACCUCUUUACUUCAUCCAUCUUAUCUAGUUUAGUGACUGUAUAUGUAUGGGCCACAUGUGGGGCAGACUCUGAAUGGGUGUUCCUUCAGUCUCUGUUCUAAACUUUGCUUCCCUAUCCCCUCCUAAGGGUAUUCUUGUUUCCCUUUUAAAGAAGGAGUGAAGCAUCCACAUUUUCAUCAUCAAAUUCAGGCCACACAUUGAGGUGUAUGUUAUUACAUUUCCCAAGAUUCAUGGUCCUCAGUAACACAACCUGUUUUUCUUCCCAGGAUUUCUAAGAUGGAGAGAUACCACAUGUGAAGUGAAGUUGCCCUACGUCUGCAAAUUUACAGGUUAAAAUUACCAGACAGCAAACAGCUUUAGUUUGUCCUGAAGCACAUCCUGUCAAGGGGCAAAAUAUGAAGACUUGCGUAGAAAAAGUGUAUUCUAUCUACAGUCCACAUUGGAGCUCUAAUCAUUCUUUAGCCAAUUUUGUAUAAGUUGUGUCCUCAUGUCUUGGAAAGCAGUAAUAAACCUCAGUCUCUCUUCG